GGUACAAACUUGAAGUAGAGUAGAUUAGUAUGGUCAGGUGAUCCUGUCGAUCUAUUCUACUUCAAAUUUGGACAC
rnacentral:pre_miRNA from 1 species